rnacentral:tRNA from 1 species
GCUGGUGUAGCUCAGAUGGUAGAGCAACGCACUCGUAAUGCGUAGGCCGCGGGUUCGAUUCCCUUCACCAGCA